rnacentral:rRNA from 1 species
AUGCCUCCCCAGCUCCUCAUACACAGCCUCCUCCAGCUCCGGAUCCCCCCUCGCCACCCCCUCCUCCGCCUCCUCCACUCCUACAACCCCAUCGACCGCCCGCCGCCGCAGGACCCGCCCCUGCACGACGCUGAGCUUUGGAUCGCCAAGGCGCUCGCGACUGCCGCCUUACUCCUGCCACACUACCUCCCGGCAUUCCGCCGCCUCGCACCCUCCCAGGCCGCCGCCGCCGCCGCGCUCCGCCACGCGCCGUGCGCCUCCUCGACGCUCCACCUCUUCUCUGCGCUGCAUUCCGCCCACUCCCAGCUCGCCAUCCCCCCGUCCGCUCAUUCCUACCGCUACGUCAUCUCGUUGAUGUGCCAGUCCGGCCGCCACACUGAUGCCCUCCAACUGUUCGACCAAAUGACGGACCAGUCUGGUUACUUUCCCAAUGCUCGUUUUCUCUCGUUCCUGUCCGGUUCCUGCGCCACUGCAGGCCUUCUUGAUGCUGCUGCAGCAUUGCUCUCAAAGGCAUCCCAAUUUGGUUGUUCCAUUGAAGCGUAUGCAUAUAACAAGCUCAUGGGCUUGUUCAUUGGCCGUGGCCGGGUGCAGGACGCUGUGGCAUUGUUUGAGGGGUGGAUCCAGGGGAGAGUGUAUUCCCCGGACGUCUGGAGCUUUAAUGUCGUCAUCAAGGGGGUUUGCAAGGUGGGGGAUGUUCAAAAGGCGCUCGAGUUGGUCGAAAGGAUGGAUGAGUUUGGUUGCUCGCCAGAUACUGUCACACAUAAUAUUCUUGUGAAUGGGCUAUGCAGGGCAAAGGAGGUGAGUAAGGGUCGUGAGGUGUUGAGGAGGCUUCAGAGAGAUGGUGUUUGCAUGCCCAAUGUAGUGACAUACACCUCAGUAAUCUCAGGUUACUGUAAGACUGGCAGGAUGGAGGAUGCAAUGGCAGUAUACGAUGACAUGGUUGCGUGUGGGACAUCACCCAAUUUGGUCACAUACAAUGUGCUAAUCAAUGGAUAUGGCAAGGCUGGGAAUAUGGGGUCUGCGGUGGCAGUGUAUCAGCAAAUGAUACUUCGUCGCUGCCUUCCUGAUGUUGUGACAUUUAGUUCAUUGAUUGAUGGAUAUUGUCGGUGCGGACAGCUUGAUGAUGCAAUGAAGAUUUGGGCUGAGAUGUCUCAGUACCAUAUUCAACCAAAUGCACACACGUUCUGUAUCAUAAUACACACAUUUUGUAAGCAGAACAGAUCAGGGGAAGCGCUUCAUUUUUUGAAAAAAAUGAACAUGAGAACAGACAUUGCACCACAAGUGUUUAUAUAUAACCCUGUGAUUGAUGUACUGUGCAAGGGUGGAAAGGUGGACGAAGCAAACAUGAUUCUAAUGGAGAUGGAAGAGAAAGGAUGUCGUCCCGACAAGUAUACAUAUACUAUUUUGAUAAUUGGGCACUGCAUGAAGGGUAGGAUAGCAGAAGCCAUCACAUUUUUCCAUAAAAUGGUAGAGACUGGGUGUUCCCCUGACAGUAUAGUAGUCAAUUCUUUUAUUAGCUGCCUUUUAAAGUCUGGGAUGCCUGGUGAGGUGGAUCACAUAAUGCGUAUUGCAGCAGGGGGUGCUUCAUCGAGUUGGAAAGAUCCUUCUCCUGUUACCCAAAGCGUAGACAUUUCAGUAGCUGUAUAG